rnacentral:snRNA from 1 species
UUGCUUGGUUCUACAGCACAUACACUAAAAUUGGAAAUAUACAGAAAAGAUUAGCAAGGCCUCUGGGCAAGAAUGACACACAGACCCGUGAAGUGUUAUGCUUUCUG